AGCGAACGCUGGCGGCAGGCUUAACACAUGCAAGUCGAGCGGGCACUUCGGUGUCAGCGGCAGACGGGUGAGUAACACGUGGGAACGUACCCUUUGGUUAGGAAUAACGCUGGGAAACUAGCGCUAAUACCGGAUACGCCCUUUUGGGGAAAGGCUUGCUGCCGAAGGAUCGGCCCGCGUCUGAUUAGCUAGUUGGUGGGGUAAUGGCCUACCAAGGCGACGAUCAGUAGCUGGUCUGAGAGGAUGAUCAGCCACACUUGGACUGAGACACGGCCCAGACCCCUACGGGGGGCAGCAGUGGGGAACAUUGGACAAUGGGCGCAAGCCUGAUCCAGCCAUGCCGCGUGAGUGAUGAAGGCCUUAGGGUUCUAAAGCCCUUUUGUCCGAGACGAUAAUGACGGUACCGGAAGAAUAAGCCCCGGCUAACUUCGUG
rnacentral:rRNA from 1 species